UACGUAGGGGGCGAGCGUUGUCCGGAGUUACUGGGCGUAAAGCGCACGCAGGCGGUCUGCUAAGUUUGGUGUGACAGUUGGUGGCUUAACUGCCAAAGUGCUUCGAAAACUGACAGACUUGAGGGCUUCAGAGGGACACGGAAUUCCGGGUGGAGUGGUGAAAUGCGUAGAGAUCCGGAGGAACACCAAAGGCGAAGGCAGUGUCCUGGGGAGUGCCUGACGCUCAGGUGCGAAAGCCAGGGGAGCGAACGGG
rnacentral:rRNA from 1 species